UCCGCAAUGGGCGAAAGCCUGACGGAGCAACGCCGCGUGAGUGAUGACGGCCUUCGGGUUGUAAAACUCUGUGAUCCGGGACGAAAAGGCAGAGUGCGAAGAACAAACUGCAUUGACGGUACCGGAAAAGCAAGCCACGGCUAACUACGUGCCAGCAGACGCGGUAAUACGUAGGUGGCAAGCGUUGUCCGGAAUUAUUGGGCGUAAAGCGCGCGCAGGCGGCUUCCCAAGUCCCUCUUAAAAGUGCGGGGCUUAACCCCGUGAUGGGAAGGAAACUGGGAAGCUGGAGUAUCGGAGAGGAAAGUGGAAUUCCUAGUGUAGCGGUGAAAUGCGUAGAGAUUAGGAAGAACACCGGUGGCGAAGGCGACUUUCUGGACGAAAACUGACGCUGAGGCGCGAAAGCGUGGGGAGCAAACAGGAUUAGAUACCCUGGUAGUCCACGCCGUAAACGAUGGAUACUAGGUGUAGGAGGUAUCGACCCCUCCUGUGCCGGAGUUAACGCAAUAAGUAUCCCGCCUGGGAAGUACGAUCGCAAGAUUAAACUCAAA
rnacentral:rRNA from 1 species